CCUACGGGGGGCAGCAGUGGGGAAUAUUGGACAAUGGGGGGAACCCUGAUCCAGCCAUGCCGCGUGUGUGAAGAAGGCCCUCGGGUUGUAAAGCACUUUCAGUGAGGAAGAACGCCUGGUGGUUAAUACCCAUCAGGAAAGACAUCACUCACAGAAGAAGCACCGGCUAACUCCGUGCCAGCAGCCGCGGUAAUACGGAGGGUGCGAGCGUUAAUCGGAAUUACUGGGCGUAAAGCGCGCGUAGGUGGCUUGAUAAGCCGGUUGUGAAAGCCCCGGGCUCAACCUGGGAACGGCAUCCGGAACUGUCAAGCUAGAGUGCAGGAGAGGAAGGUAGAAUUCCCGGUGUAGCGGUGAAAUGCGUAGAGAUCGGGAGGAAUACCAGUGGCGAAGGCGGCCUUCUGGACUGACACUGACACUGAGGUGCGAAAGCGUGGGUAGCAAACAGGAUGAGAUACCCUGGUAGUC
rnacentral:rRNA from 1 species